UUGAUUCAUUCGCUCGCUCACUCAGAAGGAAUACCACCGGGGCGAAGACAGGAGUUCGGGUCCCCCGGCGGCCGCCUGGCUCCGGGCCGCCGCCCCCGGGGAGGGGGGGUCGGGCGCCGGGGCGGUCCGCCGAAGCAACGUCCAGGUAUGUUCACAGGGGGUUUGGGAGUUGUAAACUCGGUAAUGAUCCCUCCGCUGGUUCACCAACGGAGA
rnacentral:misc_RNA from 1 species